UACGGAGGGUGCAAGCGUUAUCCGGAUUUACUGGGUUUAAAGGGUGCGUAGGUGGGUCUGUAAGUCAGUGGUGAAAUCUUCAAGCUUAACUUGGAAACUGCCAUUGAUACUAUAGGUCUUGAAUUAUCUGGAGGUGAGCGGAACAUGUCAUGUAGCGGUGAAAUGCUUAGAUAUGACAUAGAACACCAAUUGCGAAGGCAGCUCACUACGGAUGUAUUGACACUGAGGCACGAAAGCGUGGGGAUCAAACAGG
rnacentral:rRNA from 1 species